CGAGACAUGGUGUAAUUGGAAACACAGCCUCUUCUCAUUAUAAAUGCCUCUGUGUAGAGGCAAUCCAGGGUUUGAUUCCCUGUGUCUGAA